CCCUUAGAUGUUCUGGGCCGCACACGCGCUACACUGAAGGAGGCAGCGUGUACUCCUGGAUCGAAAGAUUUGGGUAGCCCGCGAAUCUCCUUCGUGCUAGGGAUUGAGGUUUGCAAUUAUCCUUCAUGAACGAGGAAUUCCCAGUAAGUGCAAGUCAUAAGCUUGCGCUGACUACGUCCCUGCCCUUUGUACACACCGCCCGUCGCUACUACCGAUUGAAUGAUUUAGUGAGGACUUCGGACUGGGACCGAUGCGGCUUUCGGGCUGCGUCGGUAUUCUGGAAAGAUGUCCAAACUGUAUCAUUUAGAGGAAGUAAAAGUCGUAACA
rnacentral:rRNA from 1 species